rnacentral:lncRNA from 1 species
CCUUUCCUCAACAUCUGUCACAGCCUCCACAUCACUGGAAAGAAAUUGAGGCUGUGGGGUGAGUCUGUUUGCCAGAGUGCUAUUAUCCAUCCAUUCUGUGUUUUCAGGAUCUGGGCUUAAAAUAAGACAACCUGGGGAGGAAUGUUUUUGGCCUGGAGAAUAAGUGAGGGAAGACAGGCUGGGUGGGCUUCUGUGGGGCACUGGCUGCUACGGAGAGCAAAUUCAGGAAGCACUGGCUUCGUGUGGAGGCUUGCUCUUCGUACCUGCCGCAGACCACCCACGGGAUGAGGGUGGUGAGGAGCAGCCAGUGCUGGCAGGCAUCUUCUGCCUGGAUCUUCUCCACACCCUCCCUGU